rfam:Enterococcus dispar ATCC 51266 genomic scaffold acpMG-supercont1.1, whole genome shotgun sequence.
GGGGACGUUACGGAUUCGACAGGCAUAGUUCGAGCUUGAAUGGCGCUUCGUAGGUUACGACUACGUUAAAACGUUACAGUUAAAUAUAACUGCUAAAAACGAAAACUCUUACGCUUUAGCUGCCUAAAAACAGUUAGCGUAGAUCCUCCCGGCAUCACCCAUGUGCUCGGGUAAGGGUCUCAAAUUUAGUGGGAUACGCUAAGUUUUUCCGUCUGUAAAAUUUAGAAGAGAUUAUCAGACUAGCAAAGUAAAAAGCCUGUCCCUCGGCGUUUUACCUAGCGAAUUUCAAAAGAGCGGACUAUGAGCGUAGUCUUUUGGGUGGCGAUGUGUUUGGACGCGGGUUCGACUCCCGCCGUCUCCAUUA